AUUGAACGCUAGCGGGAUGCUUUACACAUGCAAGUCGAACGGAGUGGCGGACGGGUGAGUAAUAUAUCGGAACGUGCCCAGAAGCGGGGGAUAACUACUAGAAAGAGUGGCUAAUACCGCAUACUAUUUGAGUCCCUGAUAUCGGAUUCGCUAGUUGGUGGGGUAAAGGCUCACCAAGGCAACGGUCCGUAGCUGGUUUGAGAGUGCGACCAGCCACACUGGGACUGAGACACGGCCCAGACUCCUACGGGAGGCAGCAGUGGGGAAUUUUGGACAAUGGGGGAAACCCUGAUCCAGCCAUCCCGCGUGUAUGAUGAAGGCCUUCGGGUUGUAAAGUACUUUUGGCAGAGAAGCGGUAUCUGCAGAAUAAGCACCGGCUAACUACGUGCCAGCAGCCGCGGUAAUAC
rnacentral:rRNA from 1 species